rnacentral:rRNA from 1 species
AUUGAACGCUGGCGGCAGGCCUAACACAUGCAAGUCGAACGGUAACAGGAAGCAGCUUGCUGCUUUGCUGACGAGUGGCGGACGGGUGAGUAAUGUCUGGGAAACUGCCUGAUGGAGGGGGAUAACUACUGGAAACGGUAGCUAAUACCGCAUAACGUCGCAAGACCAAAGAGGGGGACCUUCGGGCCUCUUGCCAUCGGAUGUGCCCAGAUGGGAUUAGCUAGUAGGUGGGGUAACGGCUCACCUAGGCGACGAUCCCUAGCUGGUCUGAGAGGAUGACCAGCCACACUGGAACUGAGACACGGUCCAGACUCCUACGGGAGGCAGCAGUGGGGAAUAUUGCACAAUGGGCGCAAGCCUGAUGCAGCCAUGCCGCGUGUAUGAAGAAGGCCUUUCGGGUUGUAAAGUACUUUCAGCGGGGAGGAAGGCGAUAAGGUUAAUAACCUUGUCGAUUGACGUUACCCGCAGAAGAAGCACCGCUA